UCAGCUGACCUGGGCCUGCAGUG
rnacentral:miRNA from 1 species